GCGCGCAGGCGUACUGGUCCGCCUCCCCACCCCGCCCACCGCCCGCCGGAGGUAGCCGUUGGGAGGCGGUUGGGCGGGGCAACGGCCGCCGCUUGGAGGCCCCGCCCCCGGCUGGGCCCUGGGGAGCUGAGGUUUCCGACGGAAACGGGCGGUGCGCGCCGAGUCCUUGAACCUGGGCACUCCGGUCGGCCGCCUCAGGGUUGGCGGCGGAAGGACUCUUCGUUGGGGAGAAAAGCCUUCCCCGUACCGAAGGAGGAAGACCUAGAUUUAAAACAGGAGCGAGGCAGCUGAUGAGAACCACACACGCGCCUUGGAUCUGUGCUACACCUUAGCUGCAGGAACACUCCUACGGAUCCCUGUCAUUCACCUUUAAUUCUUUGGAAGGCAGACCAGGUGGUUCUUGCCGACAGACAGUUUGGAUCUUCUUGCCCCCUGCUCUAAAAACUCAGGGACCUCGGCUCAAGUAAACCCUUGGCCUUGUGAGCCACGCCCUCUCACCGGCAAACGCAUCACAUGCUACAAUGUGGCACACAUAAACGACCCAUCUUCCCGACCAGCCUUAUUCCUCACCGUCCCUAAGUGGGUUUUCUCCACUCCUGCACACUGGUCACCUAGCUAUCCAACCAGGUGGCCUGGCCCUUGCUUCUCAGAGGAGUGACCUGGCUAAAGUCACAUGACUGGAUUUUAGACAGGAUUACGACUGCAGCCCAAAGCUCAGGGGUCCCAGACUGGCAGAGAAACGCAUGAACCAAAUCAGCUGCAAGCCACUUCCCCAAGGAGCAGACAAGGGCCAAGGGACUGAUGUCAGAAAGCAACCAGGAGCAGACAGAAGCCACAGUCAAAGGCCCAAACUGGCCAAUGGAAUGUCUCAGAAACAAAGGCACAGUGUUGUGCCUCAACCCAGAAAGCAAUGUGAUGCUCUAGAAAACACGCCCUACAAAUACUGCAGGCUAUAUAUACAGAGAGGAGUGUCAAGUCCUGACGAGACCGGGUCCUGAGCCAUCGCUGUCACAGACGGAGAAACUGAGGCACAAACAGGACCAAUGACCUCUCCCCAACAUCACUGGCACGUGAGGGACAAGGGAACGACUCGGAGCGUAGGCCCACGAUCCCCUCCCCGCCGUUCCCAAACCCCACAGCUCGAAAAGCCCAAAGAAUUUCUUUAAGUUUGCGCCA